GAAGAAAUAUGGGACAAAUACUGCCGUCUUUUACAUCCACAUAAAUAAUGAACGUGUUUGAAUGCAGAGAGGUAAAAGCCUUACAGCAUUUGCACUCUGAGGUAUCCAGGUGUGGCAAACAGGACUGGGGAAAUGAUACAGGAAGAGAUCUGGCACUUUUUUUCUUUCACCAACUGGCAGAAGAUACAGGAUGACCUACAGUGGGAGAAGAGUGCCCUGAA